CACGUAGGAGGCGAGCGUUGUCCGGAAUCAUUGGGCGUAAAGCGCGCGUAGGUGGCUUCGUAAGUCCGUUGUGAAAGUCAAAGGCUCAACCUUUGAAAGCCGAUGGAUACUGCGGAGCUAGAGUACGGAAGAGGCGAGUGGAAUUCCUGGUGUAGCGGUGAAAUGCGCAGAUAUCAGGAGGAACACCGGUGGCGAAGGCGGUGGUCUGGGCCGGCACUGACGCUGAGGAGCGAAAGCGUGGGUAGCAAACAGG
rnacentral:rRNA from 1 species